rnacentral:rRNA from 1 species
CACGCCGCGUGAGUGAUGAAGGUUUUCGGAUCGUAAAACUCUGUUGUUAGGGAAGAACAAGUACCGUUCGAAUAGGGCGGUACCUUGACGGUACCUAACCAGAAAGCCACGGCUAACUACGUGCCAGCAGCCGCGGUAAUACGUAGGUGGCAAGCGUUGUCCGGAAUUAUGGCGUAAAGCGCGCGCAGGCGGUUUCUUAAGUCUGAUGUGAAAGCCCCCGGCUCAACCGGGGAGGGUCAUUGGAAACUGGGGAACUUGAGUGCAGAAGAGGAGAGUGGAAUUCCACGUGUAGCGGUGAAAUGCGUAGAGAUGUGGAGGAACACCAGUGGCGAAGGCGACUCUCUGGUCUGUAACUGACGCUGAGGCGCGAAAGCGUGGGGAGCGAACAGGAUUAGAUACCCUGGUAGUCCACGCCUAAACGAUGAGUGCUAAGUGUUAGAGGGUUUCCGCCCUUUAGUGCUGCAGCAAACGCAUUAAGCACUCCGCCUGGGGAGUACGGUCGCAAGACUGAAACUCAAAGGAAUUGACGGGGGCCCGCACAAGCGGUGGAGCAUGUGGUUUAAUUCGAAGCACGCGAAGAACCUUACCAGGUCUUGACAUCCUCUGACAACCCUAGAGAUAGGGCUUCCCCUUCGGGGGCAGAGUGACAGGUGGUGCAUGGUUGUCGUCAGCUCGUGUCGUGAGAUGUUGGGUAAGUCCGCAACGAGCGCAACCC